rnacentral:sRNA from 1 species
AUUUGACCCAGCAAUCCCAUUACUGGGCAUAUACCCAAAGGAACAUAAAUCAUUCUAUAAAGACGUAUGUUUAUACAGUAAACACGUAUGUUUAUUGUAGCACCAUUUACAAUAGCAAAGACAUGGAACCAACCCAAAUGCCCAUCAGUGAUAGACUGGAUAAAGAAAAUGUGGUACAUAUACACCAUGGAAUACUAUGCAGCUGUAAAAAAGAACGAGAUCAUGUCCUUUGCAGGGACAUGGAUGAAGCUGGAAGCCAUCAUUCUCAGCAAACUAACACAGGAACAGAAAACCAAACACCGCAUGUUCUCACUCAUAAGUGGGAAUUGAACCACAAGGACACAUGGACACAGGGAGAGGAACAUCACACUCCUGGGCCUGUCGGGGGCUGGGGAUUAAGAGGAGGGAGAGCACUAGGACAAAUACCUAAUUCAUGCGGGGCUUAAAACCUAGAUGAUGGGUUGAUAGGUAUAGCAAACCACCAUGGCACAUGUAUACCUAUGUAACAAACCUGCACGUUCUGCACAUGUAUCCCAGAACUUAAAAUAAAAAAAAUUGCGUUUCAGAUUGUUAACUCUGUUUUUCUUUAAUUGACGCAUUUGCUGACCUGUCUGCUAUAUCCUUUGCCCAAAGGAGAUGCAGAAACUACCAGAGGCUGUUCAGCUAAUUGAGAAAGCCAGCAUGAUGUACCUAGAAAACGGCACCCCAGACACAGCAGCCAUGGCUUUGGAGCGAGCUGGAAAGCUUAUAGAAAAUGUUGAUCCAGAGAAAGCUGUACAGUUAUAUCAACAGACAGCUAAUGUGUUUGAAAAUGAAGAACGCUUACGACAGGCAGUUGAAUUACUAGGAAAAGCCUCCAGACUACUAGUACGAGGACGUAGGUUUGAUGAGGCGGCACUCUCUAUUCAGAAAGAAAAAAAUAUUUAUAAGGAAAUAGAGAAUUAUCCAACUUGUUAUAAGAAAACAAUUGCUCAAGUCUUAGUUCAUCUACACAGAAAUGACUAUGUAGCUGCAGAAAGAUGUGUCCGGGAGAGCUAUAGCAUCCCUGGGUUCAAUGGCAGUGAAGACUGUGCUGCCCUGGAACAGCUUCUUGAAGGUUAUGACCAGCAAGACCAAGAUCAAGUGUCAGAUGUGUGCAACUCACCACUUUUCAAGUACAUGGACAAUGAUUAUGCUAAGCUGGGCCUGAGUUUGGUGGUUCCAGGAGGGGGAAUCAAGAAGAAAUCACCCGCAACACCACAGGCCAAGCCUGAUGGUGUCACUGCCACAGCUGCUGAUGAAGAGGAAGAUGAAUACUCAGGAGGACUAUGCUAGUAUUUUGCUUGCUGAAAAGAAAAGGGAAACAAAGGUAAAAUCCUGACAUGCCAUUUCAAGGACUUGGGAAUAGAUUAGGGAUAUCCAUACUUCCUUACAGUCAUGAUUUGGGAUCCUAAUAAAGACGAGUUUUUAGUUACCAUCUUCCCAAAUCACUCAUUGUAUCCAUUACCUGUGAAGCAUAUCUUUUUCUUUCCAUAAGAGCUUUUCUAAGACACCAGCAGGAAUUAACAGAAAAUGUACUGUCAUGUUUUAAUACAGUUGAUUAAAAAAUUUGCAAGCCAAAUUAUACAUAAAUUAUGUUCUAAACAAAAAGAGUAAUAAGCGUAGGUAUUCUCUCUUGGACGCUUGUAAGUUACUGUUAGUGAAUUGUUUUUUACGUUUCAUUUAAUAAUUGCUGCUAAAGGUGAUGUUUACUGAUAAAAAAUUAUUUUUAAAAUUUGUUUUGUUUUGAAAAGGAAAUUUAGCCCCCAUGAUGUUAGAUACAUUUAAAUUAUUAAGUCUUUUCAGAGAUGAGAUGGGGACAGGAAGUUAUUUUGAGCCUUACAAUAUUAUUUAGCCCAAUAAAAGAUGCAUUGAAGCUCUUAUAUAUUAUGAGUUUGAAAAAUUUUGAAGGUAGCAUAUUAAAGUGAUCUAUAAAUAUCUUCAGUCCUCUCUGAAGUGUGGGUAUUUCUUCUAUCUAAAAUAUACAUACAGUGACUGUCUUCAAAUCUACUUGGUUCUUGACCAAAUAGGAGCUAAUGGGUAAUGAAUACCUUUUUUUUUGUUUGUUUGUUUUGUUUUUUGUUUUUUUUAAGGGUCUCACUCUGUUGCCCAGGCUGGAGUGCAGUGGCACGAUCACGGCUCCCUGCAGCCUCUCCUGGACUUAGGUGAUUCUGCCAUCUCAGACCCGAGUAGCUGGGACUACAGGCGUGCACCACCACGCCAGGCUAAUGUUUUUAUUUUUUAUUUUGUAUUUUUUUUGAUUUUUUUUGUAGAGAUGGAGUUGCUCCAUGUUGCACAGGCUGUUCUCAAACUCCUAAGCUCAAGCCAUCUGCCUGCCUUGGCCUCCCAAAGUGCUGGGAUUGUAGACAUAAGCCACCUCACCCAGCCUACGAAUAUCUUUCUAACAUUGUAAGAAUGAGGUAAUGUUUCCAUCAAUCUAAUACAGAUAUAUUUCUUCCCUCCAAAAUAAUUUGGUUUAUUUUGAUUGUAACUCCGUCAUAACUUGACAUGGAAAAUGCUAUAUACUAUGAAAACUUAGCUGAAAGGGAAGAAUUGUUUUAGAAGACAAUAUUUAAAACACCGCACUGCCAAUAUAUUGAUCCUUUAUAGUUAUUUCCUAAAAUGCUGUUUUCAAAACAUUCCUUUUUCACCCUGUUGUGUGGCUUAGACCCAUCUCAUAAUCUAUUAAUUGGAAAGAGGCUACAAACACCAGCAGUGUGUGUUCUGCAGGUACACACUGCCAAAGUAAUUUCCUGCUUAUUCAUGCCCUGUCUCUGUCUCUUUUAGAGUCAUACCUUAUUUGGGUAUAGGUUGCUUAAUUUUGCUAGACUUUCUGAAAACACUAAGAUAGCGUAUCAGAAGUGAUUUUAAUCACAGUUCUGUGGGAGAGUUUAGACAGAAUAACAUCCUCCUUUGGGAGGUGGUCUUGGGUGGGUGGAUGUUGGUAUACAGUCUUUAUUGUAAGUCUGAUACAAAAUGCUAAUAAAUUUAAUGUUUUUCUUCCUUAAUUUAUUGGCAUAGUUCUUCAGGUAGCAUCUCAUUUUUAAUGAUAUUGGGAUUAACUAUGAACAAGCUAUAUGUAGACAUUUGCAUUUAAGGACAUUGCAGUGUUUCAAAGAUCCCAUCAUUGCAGCUUGUAUCCUUUAGAUCCAGUCGGAAACUUCUGGAGUGUUACAUUAAUGCUCAUUUGAGCUAAUUAGUAAUCUGUUUAAACAGAUUUGGCAAUACUUUAAAGAUAUUGUAGACUAUUUAUUUAUAGAUCAUAUUACCCAUUAAAGUCUUGGGGAAAAAAUUUUUUAGUUUUACUCUUCUUAUGUACUGAAAACUUUUUUUAAAAAAGGUGAUGAUGAAGUGCAUUCUGUAGCAGCAGCGCAGCUGGGCUUUAAACCACACAAAAGACUCUGUCCAAGUGCAGCCUCCUUCACCUUUCCUGCCCAUGGAGAGGAUUGAAUAACCAGGACUUGGGGAUAUUCUUUGUUGUCAGGGUUAUUCUAUGUGAUAAAGAAUAUUUGUUUCACAUUUAUACAUUUUCUUUUUCCACUCACAUAAGUUUCUAUCUUGAGAGCAUAGUCCAAAGUGUAAAACUUGGUGUUUACAAGAAAAAUUGUCUUCCAGAACUCCACUGUCAUCACUUUCACCAAAGUGGAAGUUUGCAUGAAUAUGCUCAGAAUCUAAUAUUCAAUGUUCUGUUACAUUGUAAGUGAAGUCCAGCUACAAAAUAGAUUUAAUAUAUUGAAUUUAUUUGUACAUAUGCAGAGUAUGGUAUUUCUGUAUGGAAUCUGCUUUAUUCCUAUUUUCUUCAACUCCGAUAAGUAGAAUAUUAAAUGUGUUGUUAUGGAAAUACAGAUUAUUGCUUCUAUAGGAAGAUAAUUACGAAAAUAAAACCUGAAACUAUAU